GAGGUUGUGGCUCAGUGGUAGAGCACUUGCCUAGCACAUGAGAGUCACUGGGUUUGAUCCCUGGCACCAUCU
rnacentral:tRNA from 1 species